AUUGAACGCUGGCGGCAUGCUUUACACAUGCAAGUCGAACGGUAACAGGGUGCUUGCACCGCUGACGAGUGGCGAACGGGUGAGUAAUACAUCGGAAUGUACCCAGUAAUGGGGGAUAACGCUUCGAAAGGAGUGCUAAUACCGCAUACGCCCUGAGGGGGAAAGUGGGGGACCGCAAGGCCUCACGUUAUUGGAGCAGCCGAUGGCUGAUUAGCUAGUUGGUGAGGUAAAGGCGCACCAAGGCGACGAUCAGUAGCGGGACUUAGAGGACGCUCCGCCACACUGGAACUGGGAUACGGUCCAGACUCCUACGAGAGGCAGCAGUGGGGAAUCUUGGACAAUGGGCGAAAGCCUGAUCCAGCAAUGCCGCGUGCGUGAAGAAGGCCUUCGGGUUGUAAAGCGCUUUUGUCUGGGAGCAAAUCCUGGCCUCUAAUACAGGUCGGGGAUGAGAGUACCAGAAGAAUAAGGACCGGCUAACUACGUGCCAGCCGCCGCAGUAA
rnacentral:rRNA from 1 species